CAAGGCGAGAGACAGAUGGAAGGAAGCGGCGGUAAAUAACACGUCCGCCCUGAAAUGGACAUAAAUUCAGGCCGAGAUUCUGUCCUGGUGUCCUGAUGACAUGAACCACAGGAACAGAGCUAAGGGAGAUUUUAAAAUGUCAUCACCAGGCUCCUCUACGGAACUGCAGCUUUGUUCUUUAUUCAGCGCCGUCAGGAACAUAUAAUUCCUCAUGCCCCGCGUUGCUGGAGGACUUCCGGCUUGGCUGUUCUGCCGGGUUCCACGCCACGUCACCGUGUCCACGUGAGGCGUUCUUUGUCAAGUUGCUAGAAGGGGAAGGAGGAUUGUCUUUUUUAAAAUAAAUGUCAUCUGGGGUCAUGGCAGACCGGGAAGAAAGUGGCAAGAAGGCUGAGGUCAAGGGAGCAGAGGGAUGCAAGUCCCUGCCUGCUGAGGACCAGGACUCGGCGAGCUACACAAGUCCACAAGCAGCAUGCUGUCCAAACCCCAGCCUGCUCCCUCUGGCACGACCGCUGGCUGGGGACCUUUGGUGGAAGAGAACUGUCUGUUCCUGGCACAGAGAAGGCACUGGACAACUCUUUCCAGGUGAGAUCCCUUCCAAGCGUGGCUGCCUCCCAGCUCUUGAGUUCAGCUUUCUCCUCGGUGGGCUUCCUGGUCAGGACCCCCUGCGUCUCCUUCCCAAGGUCGCCUCCAUUUCAGAACCCAACCUCUCCCACGGACUGUGAGUCCCCACUUCCCUCCUGCCUUUCUGGCCUGGCCCCGUCCCCCACUAAGCCAGGGCCAUCCUCCUAAACCCUGGUCCAGCCUCUGAUGCUGGAUGUGGCCAGAUGGAAAAUGGAGAGAAGAGAAAUGGACGGAGUGGUGAGUGUUUGGUAGAGCUAGAUUUCGCAGUCCCUUUAUAGACCUGCCCUCUAUUCUGAGAUCCUUUCUAUCUUUUGGUGUUAGAAGGUCCUUUGUUACAUAAACUGACGGAGCUGUUGGAUGGCAAAUGCUUUAAAAGUUGUACUUACUCAGAGAAAAAGUUGGCCACCCCGCUCACUCCCUACUUUUCUGUUUUGAAAUUUUGCCAGACGGAGCCAUCAAGGUGUCGGGUUGGGGGCUGCGUCUCCAGGUGAGUGUGCCGCGGGGCGGGGCUUCCCAGCAGAGGGCUGGAGUUAAGUUGGAGGCCCAGAAAAGAGCACCGCUGUUGCAGAACCCUGCGAUUCUUUCCGACACCUUACUUUCUACCAACCUACUGGGCUGGGUCCUGGGGAUACCAAGACGCAUGACACAGUCCCUGCUUUCAGGUCGUGGGCGGGGGGUGCUGCCAAGAGUUAAAUGCAAAAAGUGUCCCUUGGUGAGAAACAAAGUGCCUUCAGAGGGUGGGACCACUGCGGGCAUCACACGUCCCCGCAGCAAAGCCGCAGCGGUUACCUGGUUAGUCACAGAGCCUGGAGUUGCUUUCCAUUAAAUGGGACAAAAAUCUACACCCCAGGGACAAUACCUGCCCCCGUUCAUUGGCCAAAAUGGAUAAAUGUCUAUGUGUGUGUCGACGGGUGUGUUUUACACAUAAACCCAUAUCGCAAGCAUUUUGUAGCCAUUUGUUAGUGUGUUAGCUUCACGUUGGUGGUGAAGAUCUGGAGGAGUGAGGUUCGCAGGUGUGGAAAUAGGUUUUUGUGUUGUGGCUGGUCCUUGCCUGCAUAUGUGUAGCGGGCAGAGAGAGGGAGAGAGAACCGACUGCCUGGGAUAGAAACAGCUCUGAGCUGUCUCCUAUGAUCUGCUCUCUCUGUGCCUGAGUUUCUAGCGAGAUCAGCCGGAAGAAGAACCAGAAUGGAAAGGAGUUUCCUGGUAGAAGAGGAGACCGUUUUCAGGGCAUGGCGUGGUGGACAGCAUCACCCCAUUUUAUAGAUGGGAGUGGACACUCAGAGGAGUGAAGACACUGUUUGGGGAUACAGAGCUGGGGUUUGGACCCAGGGCUGUUCCUCUCCUGGGCUCCUGACCCCUGAGCCGGAUCUUCAACCAGUAAGUGCGCCAGCUUCUGAGUCUGCAGGCCCUGCUGGAAAUUCUGAGGCCCCCACCAGAGACCUGUGCUUUAGGAUCUCUGAGAAUCCAUUUCCUGCUCUGUAAAAUGAGGGAAAUACCAGGCAGCUCUGCUCCAGAAAUGAGAAUUAAAGAAAGAAAGGUACACGGAACCCUGGGUGGGGUGCCAGCCUUUAUCUGCCCAGCUGCGAAUGUUUGGGAAUGAGUUUUCCACUGAAAUUUUCUUUAAGUAGAGGGGAAAUAUCCAGAUAAAACCUAAACAUCUUGGCUCAUUGCACAUGCACGCACACUCAGAUCUGUCUUCACACACACGGUCA